AUACGCGUUUCUCUUUUCUUUAAUUGAGGUCCUCGUUCCUCUUCUGAAUACAGUUUACUCUACAAAUUUAACUCCAGUUCAGCUGUCUCUGUCAAUACAGAGAAUGGGGGAGGAAAAAAAGAUCAUCACUUGGGAGCAACACACAGAAUUAUGGACAUCAUGCUUUUACAAGAGCAGUUCUCUAAUAUCCAGUAGUGAGAAGUAAUGUCCAAACACUGGCAAGAUGAAUAUUUCACUUUAUUUUGCACUACCAUUUGUGCAAGGUUUGCAUGUGAUUAAAGGAGCUUUCAUAUAAUUGAUUUGAAUUGUAUCCUUUCAAUAAUAAAAUGUUUUACAAAAAUGAUCAUGGUUUAGCAGCAUACAGCAUUACGUUUGUAAGUCUUCCACAAGUAUUGUUCUCUGAUACUUGGAGAUAUUGGCAAGAGAAAGAUUUCAUGUUAUUUUACAUCAUUGCAAAUAUAAUGUGGUGCACUGUGGAUUGUCAAUGUUACACUACUGUGGAACACUUUGACUGCCCAUGGUGCUGGUCUUUACAUGGAUGACUAUUGUAUUCAUUCAGUUACACAAAGUCUAGCAUUAGGAUAAAUAAAAUACACCACAUGGAACAGGUAUUUAAUAAUGCAAAUGCACUUGCUAAAAAUGAUGAGGAAGCCAUUUCCAGAGAGUAUAAAUGAAUCCCACAUGAUCUUGCUUCCAGAUUGGAAACUUUGUGAAUUAAUUGUUGCUUUUCAUUCACUAUACAUACUAUUUUGCUUGCGGAUGACUGAUCAAAUUGUAACUGUUUUAUGGUAUCAGAAUGACAAAUGCACUUAUAUUAAAAUUUUGUUCAAAUUUAA